GUUCCGGUCUCAGAUCCACACUUACCAGGUGGGAAGCCGUGGGCUACUUCACUUGGAGAAACUCCCUCUUGAAUCUGGGGCCUGAACCACAGGUGGACUGCAUUCAAGGCUGGAAGAAGACUCACAGUCUGCCUCAGCCAAGAGAAACUGACACAUGUGAGGAUUAGGAUGCCUUCCUAUACUUCUACCCACCUGCACUGCAAUGUGGGUUCCAUUGGCUGUGGCCAAUAGUGCCACCUGUUGAUGAUGAAGGGAUGCUACACUUGAGUCCUCAGCCAUGACAGCUCCAGAAGUGAUGAUUGUGACCUGAAACAGAGCAGGUGUUGUGGCAUAGUAGGUAAAACCACUAUCUGUGACUCCAGCAUCCCAUAUGGGCAGCGGUUCAACU